CCCCCAAUCACACUCUAGGUUCUGGGGUUCACGUCUGAGGGAAUGGGGCUGUGAUGUGAAGGGGGCAGGACUUUCACUGGGCCCCUAAAGACUAGGGAUGGCUCAGAAUAUUCGAUUAUUCGAUUAUUCGUUCCAGAGGCUCAAAGCCGAUUUUAAACAUUUGCACCGUUAAUAUUUUUUCCCAUUCAAAUAAACAAGAUUUAACAGACUGAACUAAUGUUGGACACCUCGAAGGGCAUAAUCCCGCUUAUACCAUGGUCACUUGCCAAAGAAAAUAAAUUAAGACCACUCAUUAAAUUUUCAUGCGUUUUACAGUCCAAAUAUAACGUUUUUCACAAGCCAUAACUUUGUAUCCCUUGUAACAUCUGAGUGUUUGACUAAUACCUGGAACAUUCAUUACCCUGCCGUAAGGUUCUUAUGCAACGGAAACGCUUUUCACUCCUCCAGUAAAUAGGACGGACCUUAGCAACGGGAGGUACUCUAGUCUGCUCAGCUAUGAGCCACAUAGCUAACGAUAUGCAUUGUACAUAUUUAUAAUUCGAAAUUCGUCCCAGCCUUUAUACCACAGAUACUCUAGGGUCUAUAGCAUAUAACCGCGUUGUCUGAUUACAGUUUAAUUAAUUUUUCACAAGUUUCCAGCUCUCGUUUUGAAUACCAAAUCACCGCACCAUUCGUUUCAAUGGGAAUCGCGACGGUCUAUACUUUGAACAUAAAAUUCGUCCCAGCUUUUAUACCACCGAUACUAUAGGGGUUAUAGCAUAUAACCGUGUUUUCUGAUUAAAGUUUAAUGCAUUUUUCACAAUUUACCAGCUCUCGUUUUGAAGGCUGAACAGACAAUUUGACUGGAACUACUUAGCAGUAGUUGUUUUUUGCCUUAAGAUAUUAAGUGAUUUCUUGCCGAUGGUCCAUGGCUGCCUUUGUGAAUGUCGCCACACAUCGAAUAAUCGAUUAUUCGUUCAUACCACCCACUGAUUAUUCGACCAUGUAAAAUUUGAGUUAUUCUCAUCCCUACUCAAGACAAGGAUGCAGGAGGCUGAUGUGGGACACAGGACGGAUGUGAUCCAUGUUGCCAUGAGUAUGUGUGUGUGGUGAUGGCUGAGUUAACCUGUACACAUUGAUUACUCAAUGAACAACAGGUGUGCAUCCCCUGAGAGAGAGAGAGAGAGAGAGAGAGAGGGGGGGUACUUUGUACGGAGCGAUACCCGUUUCAUUGACAGGACUGUUCAUUUGUUAAUUGAACUAAUUGGAAGUAAGAGAAGGAAAAUUGAAUCGCGGUAGGGUGGAGACGUUACAAUUCAUUGCUGUGAUAGUCUGUGUGGAUGAUGGCUGUCUUAAGCAGCCUCACCUGGCCCCAGUCAGACUGAUUGGUCUCUGGGGCUGGGUGAGGCUGCACAGCUGUUGCAUUUUGAGCAAUCAGUGUGCACUGGUUAAACCAGCCAUCACCCCACACACUCAGGGAGUUCUCCAACAUGGCAACAUUGAGAACCAGGCCAUGUAUCAUUAUCGGCAAACCUUAAGGCCUAAACACACCGGCGCCGACGCGCAGCGGCGCGCAUUUCACGCGCGUCAAAAGCCGCCCCUAGCACCAACAGGAAGCGGCGCGACGGUCGCGCUGCAGUGUAAAAUCAGGAAGUCAACUGUCGAUCAACCGCAACAAAGAGAUGAAACGCAAUGGAACAAAGAAUUGUUGCCAGACAAGAGGGUGGCUGCCCUUCUUCUGCUGCGCCGUAGGCUGGCAAGGAGAAGACGAAGGGUUUGGGUGCACCCCAUCAAUGAACGGAGACAAGAACAGGGGCUUUACCACAAUCUGGUCCAGGAGCUCCGUGCAGAUCCUGAGAGGCACCGCCAAUAUUUCAAUUUGCCACUAGGAAGUGUGCAAUGGUGUAGCCUAGUCAUGAUGACCUAAAUGUAGUUAUUAUCCCUCUCUGGUAUAAAUACUAUUUUGCAUACAUAAUAUAUAUAUAUACACUUUUUUUUUAUCCCUCGGGAUAAAUACAGUGAUGUUAUUGCUGUGCUGGACUCAGUAGCCAGUCUAUUUUAUUUGAGUGCUCGAGACACUUAAUGUUUUCUUAAGGCAGCUGGUGUUGUGUCACUUAAUGCUCUCACCCCAAUAAAUGAAGUCUCCUCUUCAAUGUACACGCUUGUACAUCUCUUGCGUCGUUCACGAGGCUUUCACUUCUCGAUGCUGACAGAAUCCCUGCCGGCACCAAGUGUCGGAAACAUAAUCUAAUGCAUAAAAACUGUUCCUGUAAUCAUAGGAGUCGCCAAGUCUAGUGUGAAAGAAAACUGAAUGUGAUCAAGGAGCAUAUUGAAACAUGGGUAUUUCCUUCUCUUGUGGCAAGCCCGUGGUCCACGGAUGACCUAGAAGCAUUGAGUCAUUUGUCGCCUGUAAGCUAUCAACAGAACUCACUUGUGUAAUGCCAAAGCGACAAACCAGUAUAGUGGUCACACCAGUCCUACCAGGACGUGUUUUCAGUAUUUCCAUGUUCCUCUAGGGUUCCAUUGACCUUUUCCAAAUAUAUGAGAUACAACCCAACAAUGACACACAUUAUUGGGUUUCCCAGGUUUGUGUAAGUUCAAGUUUAUUGUAGAGACCUUUUAAAAACAACAGUUGACCACCUGUACAAUUAAACUAUCUAGUUAUAAAACAAACAAAUAAAAUAAAACCAAUUAAAAGGACA